CCUGCUAAAUUAGUACCUUCGAGUACGCAUUAUGCUCGUGAAGGCUGUAGCUGUUGCGAUUGCAUCGACAUGCCGACGACGAAGGAGCCUACUGAUCUAGUCAAAAAAUAGAUCAUGGAACUAGCCGAUAAUACAGUCUGGUUGGAAUCUCUUGGAUACGCUUAUAUUGAUAUCCGACCUCCGAAUCGGGUGUAAGCUGCUCUCAGAGGAAAACAAAGGGAGCGCCGAGGCGGUAAACAGCACAUUCAACAGUAUGUAGGAAAUGGCGAAAUGCAUGUCAACGGAUCCUUCAGCCUGGGGGCGGGAAUUCAAGAAUUCCCAUAUACAGAGGAGCAUUCCUCAUAGAUACUAGAAGUGUGGGAUUGGAUUCCAAUGUUUGUGACAGAAUAACAACACAACUUCAAAAAAGCAUUUUCUGUCUGUUUCCAAAUGAGAAAGGACGGAUCACUCAUUAAUUUAAAUAAAUGAAAAUAAAGGAAGACAACAAGGGCAGAUCAGGUAUUGAGCUGCAGAUAUGGACUGCGCAGACGUCAUUGUUGCAAUUGAUGCAAAGACUCUCAAUUUUGAGUUCUAAUUCACGAUAGCGCCCGUGGCGCAUUUUUCUAGAAGAAUAGGGAGGGAGAGAUAGGAAUGGGCUUCUUUGUCAUGAAUCUUCAAACCAAUCCCUUCUGGCUAAAACUUGGGAACAAUCUCGCUGCAAGGAUUUGAUAGACCAAAUUACCUACCUCCGUCUUAAGCGAAUCCCAUCAGAAAGGAAUUAUUCACAGCGAUAUGCGGUUUUAGCCCGCCUACAUUCGCACGGAUGGUCAAUUAGGCUAUGUGAUUUCAGCGACGCUGUGAAGGUAGGUGAGGCCCAAGCAGCUGGUGAAAACGGACAAUUGCAAAUUACAUAUCAACCACAUCGAAGGCAGAAUUGGUCUGAGUUUGCGGAAUGACGCUUCUCUACGCCCUUCGACGGUCGAAGUGAGGAUGGUAUUAUGCCGACUCUUCAGCGACGAGAAUCGGUUUGAUGUGGAUCAGGUAAGAGGUGCAUACUUCAUUAUCUAAGGUAUGGCGGUGCAAAGAUAUAAUUUACCUUUAUGCUGUGAUCUGUUGAUAUACAUACAUAUAUUCAAGUUGGUUCCCUUCAAUGUGACAGGAACAAUGGCCGCAUGGGAUUGUUUGUCAACACCCUUUCAUAAACGGUGCCAAAAAAAAAUAAAUAAAUAAAAUAAAAUAAACCUCC
rnacentral:sRNA from 2 species